CCCUUAGGGGACACACUCCAACCACACCCGAACCAUAGCAGAUCUGAACUAACCAAAGGUUCCAAACCUUUGUUUCCAAACCUGAGAACAUUUCUUCACUGUACCCAGCUAGGAAGGGUGAGGUCCCUGAGGUUCUGCAGGGGAAAUCCUACGUACCCACAGUCCUGCUCUGUCCCCAGCUCUGGUUCCAGGCACUGUGACCUCAGAGAAGACACAGUGCUGCUGUGAGGUCACAGUGGAGGGCAGGGUUAAAAGUCCCAGGCAACCCCAGGGGAUGGGCUGAGCAGCCUGCUGGCCGCCUUUGGAUACCCCAAGCCCUCAAGGAUCAGUCUGACCCAAGAAACCCGAGCUGCCAGAUGGGUGGGGGAGAUGAUUGUGUUCUGUCUGACAUCUGGGUUGCAUUAGCAGCCUGGGCGGCUGGCGCAGGAAUGGCCCUCCCCUGGGAUUGAGCCCUCUCCGACUUCUCCCAUGCCCGGCUUAACAGGACACCAAGUCACAGCUGUUGGCGACACGAAGCAGGAGCAACCUCCAGUUAAACUCCAGCCUGCUGAGCACCACAGAAUGGGUGACCCAGAGGAGCAAAGAAUAAUCAGGCCAGCAUCUUCUGAGCGCUCGCUGUGCACCCAGCCCUGUGCUCACCUCCGUCCGUUCACCAUGUGUGACGAGGGCAGGGAGAGCCUUGGCCCUUCAGGAGUUCCAGACAAAAUCAGGAUACAUCAGUGGGGCUGUGCCCAGCCCAUGAAUGAAGCAGAAAGACCUGAGUCCAGCACAGCCACUUCUGAUGAACAACAAGCAUGCUAUCUUGGCCUCCCAGGGCCCUGGACACAGCCCCACCCAACACAAUUCUGGCUCCCAACAUCUGGAAGGUGACACUUCAUGGGUUUUCAGAGCUUCCAGGAUUCCUUUGCCAUUACAUGUAUAAAAUAAA